CGUGUAGGCGGUUGGUCAAGUCUGGUGUGAAAGCCCGGGGCUUAGCCCCGGAAGUGCGCUGGAAACUAGCCAACUUGAGCGCGAUAGAGGAGGGUGGAAUUCCUGGUGUAGCGGUGAAAUGCGUAGAUAUCAGGAGGAACACCGGCGGCGAAGGCGGCCCUCUGGAUCGUUGCUGACGCUGAGACGCGAAAGCGUGGGGAGCAAACAGGAUUAGAUACCCUGGUAGUCCACGCUGUAAACUAUGGGUACUAGGUGUUCGGGGUGUUGACCCCCUGAGUGCCGACGCUAACGCAUUAAGUACCCCGCCUGGGGACUACGGCCGCAAGGCUAAAA
rnacentral:rRNA from 1 species